rnacentral:rRNA from 1 species
AAUCACGCUGGCGGCGUGCCUAACACAUGCAAGUCGAACGCGAAAGCCCCGCAAGGGGCAAGUAGAGUGGCAAACGAGUGAGUAACACGUGGGUGACCUGCCUUCGAGUGGGGGAUAACGUCCCGAAAGGGACGCUAAUACCGCAUGACAUCCCGCCUUUAGAGAGGCGGAGAUCAAAGCUGGGGAUCGCAAGACCUAGCGCUUGAAGAGGGGCCCGCGCCUGAUUAGCUAGUUGGUGGGGUAAUGGCUCACCAAGGCGACGAUCAGUAUCCGGCCUGAGAGGGCGGACGGACACACUGGGACUGAGACACGGCCCAGACUCCUACGGGAGGCAGCAGUGGGGAAUUGUUCGCAAUGGGCGCAAGCCUGACGACGCAACGCCGCGUGGAGGAUGAAGAUCUUCGGGUCGUAAACUCCUGUCGAGCGGGACGAAUGCCUUGCGGGUGAAUAAUCCGCGAGGGUGACGGUACCGCUAAAGGAAGCCCCGGCUAACUCCGUGCCAGCAGCCGCGGUAAUACGGGGGGGGGCAAGCGUUGUUCGGAAUUACUGGGCGUAAAGGGCUCGUAGGUGGCCAACUAAGUCAGACGUGAAAUCCCCAGGCUCAACUUGGGAACUGCGUCUGAUACUGGAUGGCUUGAAUU